AACGAACGCUGGCGGCAGGCUUAACACAUGCAAGUCGAACGCCCCGCAAGGGGAGUGGCAGACGGGUGAGUAACGCGUGGGAAUCUACCGUGCCCUGCGGAAUAGCCCCGGGAAACUGGAAUUAAUACCGCAUACGCCCUACGGGGGAAAGAUUUAUCGGGGGAUGAUGAGCCCGCGUUGGAUUAGCUAGUUGAUGGGGUAACGGCCUACCAAGGCGACGAUCCAUAGCUGGUCUGAGAGGAUGAUCAGCCACAUUGGGACUGAGACACGGCCCAAACUCCUGCGGGGGGAAGCAGUGGGGAAUAUUGGACAAUGGGCGCAAGCCUGAUCCAGCCAUGCCGCGUGAGUGAUGAAGGCCUUAGGGUUGUAAAGCUCUUUCACCGAUGAAGAUAAUGACGGUAGUCGGAGAAGAAGCCCCGGCUAACUUCGUGCCAGCCGCCGCGGUAA
rnacentral:rRNA from 1 species